ensembl:lncRNA novel transcript, antisense to ACOT6
GGUAGGAUCCCCUCGCGAGUUUACCCCGGACGUGUGGCGAAUAAAGUUAAGCAUUUUUAACGGCAUAGUCCCAGCAUUUCUGGAGGCCAAGGCAGGAAGAUCACUUGAUUCCAGGAGUUUGAAACCAGCCUGGACAACAUAGUAAGACCCUGUCUCUACAAAAAAAAGUUUUAAAACAUUAGCCAGGCAUGGUGGUGCACACCUGUGGUCCCAGCUACUGGGGACGCUGAGGCAGGAGGAUUGCUUGAGCCUGGGAGGCAAGGCUGCAGUGAGCCAUGACUGUGCCACCGCACUCCAGCUUGGGUGACAGAGUGAGGCCCUGUCUCAAACAUAAAUAAAUAAACAAAAAACUGUAUCUAACAAACACCACCCCAGAAGCUGACUGCACACUCUUGGACUCCACCUCAGAACUUCAGAAUCCAAAUCUGUUGGUAGAGAUGAGAGUAUUAUUUUUUUAAAGCUUUCAGAAGAUACUGAUACUAAGGCUUAUUGCUUUUUAGUCUUUUCUUUCAAGGCAGUUUCCUCUAUUUUAAUAACAAGGGAGAAUGCAAGAUAUUACUCCUUUUAGCACAUGUUACUCAACCUACUUUGACCACUUGUACAGGAUAAAGGUAUCAGACCAGAGGGUGAGGGUAAGCGACUGAUAAGCAAACAGAAAAGUGGAACUAAAUUUGGAAUCUCUGAGAUACUACCCAGUUUGAGUUGAGUUCUGUAUUCAUAAAAUAUUAGAGGCAGGAGAGGAAUUUAGUCCAACUCCUACGUUUUCCAGCUGGGGAUCUAGGAAGUUCAUCAGGUUUUAACUAGAGGCAUGUGGCCUAACCCUUCCAACCCCAUUCCUCCCCUUCUAGCCCAAGUUCCUAGAAAUGCAGAUAAUGCUGGUGGGUUGCUCAUUCCAGGGCCUGGUCUGCAGUUAUGCCAGGAUUGACUUAGUCAAUUUUUUAUGCUGUCUAUGUACAAAAGGACCCCGGACCUGCCACUCUGCUUUUGGUUCUAGAGGGCUAUUUGUUGGGAGUGGGGUGCUGCCUCAUAAUGCUGGUCACGUAAUGUGUAAGUUUCGAUAAUAAGGAGCCUCCAAACUCCAUUAAUAAGUCCUUUCUUUCUUCUCUAAGCACCCUCUCUUUUAAUUGCUGAGUACCCCAUAGCCCUAAAUUCUUCCCGAAGCGCCCAGUGCAUCUAACUGUAGGACCCAGAGACUUGCCUUCUAAGGACAACAGUCCAUCCUCUAAACUAAUAAUAACAAUUCCUCACACAUAUAUUUUAGUUUGCAAAGAACUUUCAUACGUUUCUAAUUUUGAGGUUCAUAUCAAUCAACACUAAAUUAGAACAGGUAUCAGACUCAAUUUUCAGAUUGGGAAACUACAGAUUUCAAAUUAUUUGCCCAAGGUAACAUGACUGGGAAGUGCACAAUUUGGCCUUACACCUGUCCCGUGACUCCAAGACAGACAAAGACAAGCCAGAACAAGCCUCUUUUGAUCAGACCUUGUGUAACAUUUUGUUCUGUCCCCAUUCCUUUUCAAAACAGACCUAUCAUGUGUUCCCUUCCUUCUUAAUAAGCCAUCAUAUCGGAUGAUAAUAACUAUUCCUUAAGUUUUUUUUGUUUUUUUUUUUUGAGAAGAAGUUUCACUCUUGUCACCCAGCCUGGAGUGCACUGGUGUGAUCUUGGCUCACUGCAACCUCCGCCUCCUGGGUUCAAGCGAUUCUCCUGCCUCAGCCUCCUGAGUAGCUGGGAUUACGGGUGCCUGCCACCAUGCCUGGCUAAUUUUUUGUAUUUUUAGUAGAGAUGGGGUUUCGCCAUGUUGGCCAUGCUGCUCUUGAACUGCUGACCUCUGGUGAUCUGCCUGCCUCAGCCUCCCAAAGUGUUGGGAUUACAGGCGUGAGCCACCGCACCCAGCCUCCUUAAGAAUUUCUAAUAAUUGAUAAUGGUAAUAUGGUAUUCUUUCUGGGAUGUUUGCAUUGUAACUAAAGAUUCUUUAUGUCAAAGGCUAAAGGGCAUUUAUCUGCGGACACCCUAAAUCACUCCUUUUUUUUUGAGAUAGAGUUUUGCUCUUGUUAUCCAGGCUGGAGUGCGGUGGCACGAUCUCGGCUCGCUGCAACCUCUGCUUGUCAGGUUCAAGCAACUCUCCUGCCUCAGCCUCCCAAGUAGCUGGGAUUACAGGUGUGUGCCACCAUGCCUGGCUAAUUUUGUAUUUUUAGUAGAGAUGGGGUUUCUCCAUGUUGAUCAGGCUGGCUGGUCUCGAACUCCUGACCUUGGGUGAUCCACCCGCCUCAGCCUCCCAAAGUGCUGGGAUUACAGGCGUGAGCCACCCACCUAGCCAAUCACUCCUUAUAGGUAGUCAUCUGGGGAUGAAAUGAGUCCUCAUCCCAUUUUUCAACUGUUUAGGAUCAAAUUGCCCCCUGCCUUAGAAGCAAGAUGUGGACACACUGAUGUGUUAGGAAUGUAAAAUGUUUUAGAAGAAUAUGCAAGGCAGGAGAAUAUUAAUGUUCUUUUCAUUUGACCAUUCAUACUCAACCAGUGAGGAACUCCUCUUAACAAGAAUCUUAUAAGACAGGUCUGAUGUCAAAAUCUCUCACUUUUUUUUUUUUAACUAAGAAUAUCCUUAUUUCUCUUUCAUGUUUGAAGGCUGUUUUUGCUGAAUAUAAUAUUCUAGAUUGGAAGUUUUUUUGCUUCAGCACUUUGUCACCCCACUCUCUGCUUGUAAAGUUUCUGCUGAGAAGUCUGCUACCAGCCAUAUUGGAGCUCCUUUAUGAUGUUAUUAAUAUGUCCUUCUUUUCUCUUGCUGCUUUUAGGAUCCUUUUUUAGCCUUGACCUUUGAGAGUUUGAUUAUUAUAUGCCUUGAGGUAGUCUUAUUGAGGCUGAGUUGGCUUGGUGUUUUAUGACCUUCUUAUACCUGUAUAUUCAUAUCUUUCUCUAGUUUUAGAA